GUGCCAGCCGCCGCGGUAAGACGUAGGGGGCGAGCGUUGUCCGGAAUUACUGGGCGUAAAGAGCACGUAGGCGGAUGUAUAAGUCAGGUGUGAAAGACCGCAGCCUAACUGCGGGGUUGCACUUGAAACUGUAUAUCUUGAGGGCAGGAGAGGUUAGUAGAAUUCCUGGUGUAGCGGUGAAAUGCGUAGAAAUCAGGAGGAAUACCAGUGGCGAAGGCGACUGACUGGACUGACCCUGACGCUGAGGUGCGAAAGCGUGGGUAGCAAACAGGAUUAGAAACCCCGGUAGUCCCGAAA
rnacentral:rRNA from 1 species